rnacentral:piRNA from 1 species
UAGAAAUCUCUUUGCCUGUGAUGAGUUUUU